UAUCACUACUACAGGGAGCAGAAACAAGUUACCCACCAGCUAGCGGUGCCGGGGUUUCGUUGGCAAACGGACCGUUUCUAGGUCGAAGAGGUUCCUUUCCAAGUUGAGCGCAUGGUGGCUGAAGAGGUUUCAACCAUUUUGAUAUCAAAUAAAAUAUAAUCCAUCGGCUGCUUUUGGGGCAACCAUUAGGGUUUCUUCGUAUUUGGGCUUUUCUUUUGUUGUUUUUGGGCUGCUUUAUGGGUCAUGUUGCACUUCGAUGCCUUAUGUUUUGGACUUGGGCUUUGCCCAUGUGUUUCCGGUAUCUUUUACUGUUUUUGAAUGGAAGUCACGUUCAAAAAAUAGAACAAUUCAAAUUCAAAAAUAAAACAUAAA